GGCCCGUUGGUCAAGCGGUUAAGACACCGGCCUUUCACGCCGGCAACAGGGGUUCGAAUCCCCUACGGGUCACCA
rnacentral:tRNA from 1 species